UUUCAGUUGGGGGUCCCUGGCACAUACAAAGGCCAAAAGAAUUUUUACUUACUCUUUCGACCUUUUAAGUAAUCAGGAUCAACCAGGACUACACCAUCUGUGUAGAGAAGGAAAAACAGCACCCUGGUCAGGAAAAAUCCUUAGACUAUGAAACAGAAUCAAUCUCUGAAAUACUUCCUCCCAUUUUCCCCUUUAAUUGGCCUCAUCUUCUGCACGCCCCUCUUUUUUUCUUUCUUUUAGUCCCUGGCUUCCAUUCCCCUUCUCCCCAGGAUCUUUCCCUUUUUGGACUCACUGACCAAUGGGAUCCACCAUGUCCACAUGGUCCACGAAGUCCCGUUUCCCCAGGUAGAUGGCAAGCUGUUGUGGAACAACUUUGCAUGUUAUUGUCUUAGUCAUCUUUUUUGUUUGUUUGUUUGUUUUAUUUUAUUUUUGAGAGACAGAAUGCAAGUUGGGGAGGGGCAGAGAGAGAGGGGGACAGAGGAUCUGAAGUGAACUCUGUGAGCCCGAUGCAGAGCCCAAACUCAUGAGCUGUGAGAUCAUGACCUGAGCCAAAGUCAGAUGUUCAACCAACUGAGCCAUCCAGGCGCCCCCCCAUAAUCAUCUUUGAGUGGAUUUCCCCCUGAGACCUUGAAGGAUGUACCCAACUAUCCCUUUUGCCCCCUCAUUUGCCCAGCUAGGCCAGGUUCUCUCACCUUCCCAUUGGAGCAGGUCUUCUUAUACACCCUAUAAAAAGAAAAUCAGGAAGAAAAUAGGGAUGGUCAUUGGGAGAGAAGGGAAGAGAAGAAGGGAGAGAAAAGAAAGGGAAGUGGGGGAGAAAAAGGGAAAUAUUCCUAGGAUUAGAAGAGGCCCAAGGAACAUGAAAUGGGGCAAAGGUGGAGGUAAUUGGAGUAGAAUUCAAGCUAUAAGUUGGGGGAAAGUUGGAGACUCCACUACCCCAAAGGCAAAUACUUGGAUUUGGGUAGGGGACAAGUCACAGAAUCAGAGAAUUAGAAGGAGUUCUUACUUACCUUGACAUGUUGGCCAUGGAGUUGAUGUUGAGCCUUUUCUGAGAAGAGGGACAGAGGAGGAAGGCUCAUUCAUUUGGUCCCUAUUCUUGCCCCACUCUGGGAUACCAUCCAGACACACCUAGUGUGGUGUAACCUUUCCUCCUUAAAUAUAUGCCUCACCACCAUUAAGUGCCCUAUAUUCUCCCUCCUGCCAAGGUUAUUUAUUCAGCCAUACUCUCACCCAUCCCAGACACUGGGGGAAAAAACUAUUUUUACAAAUUGUUGACUAACCAUAUUGCCUAUUCUCUAGAAGGAGCAAGGCUUCCUGGGAUAGCUGGAGCACUCUUGAGCAUCUUCAUUGAGAAGAAACUUGUCUGGAAGGGGGCUUAAGAGAGGCCUCCAUCCAGACAAGUAUGAGGAAAAUUGGACUGGAUGAGGCUGGACAUCACCUAACACACACUCAGAUCCAUGGUCCUCUCAGCAGGAAGAGAAUAGAUCUGUUUGUAGUCUCCAAAAGAAUUAUCACCAGCUUCAAUUUGAUCAAGACUAUUUGCAUUUUCUAGUAGGAUUUAUUCCUGGACUUCCAAGGUGGUUCAAUAUUUGCAAAUCAACCAACAUGAUACACCACAUUAAGAAAAGAAAGGAUAAGAAUCAUAUGAUCCUUUCAAUAGAUUCAGAAAAAGCAUUUGACAAAGUACAACAUCCAUUCAUGUUAAAAAAAAAAAACCCUCAACAAACUAGGGUUAAAGGAAACAUAUCUCAAUAUAAUAAAGGCUAUAUACGAAAAACCCACAGCUAAUAUCAUCCUCAAAGGGGAAAAACUGAGAGCUUGUCCUCUAUGGUUAGGAACAAGAUAGGAAUGUUCACUCUCACCACUGUUAUUUAACAUAGUACUGGAAUUUCUAGCCACAAUCGAAAACACAAAGAAAUAAAAAGUAUCCAAAUUGGCAAGGAAGAAGUCAAACUUUCACUAUUUGCGGAUGACAUGAUACUCUAUAUAGAAAAUCCAAAAAUUUCACCAAAAAAUUGCUAGAACUGAUACACAAAUUCAGUAAAGUCGCGGAAUACACAAUCAAUGUACAGAAAUCUCUUGCAUUUCGUUACACCAAUAAUGAAGCAGCAGAAAGAGAAAUCAAGAAAUCAAUCCCAUUUACAAUUGCACCAAAAACCAUGAGAUGCCUAGGAAUAAAUCUAACCAAAGAGAUAGAAGAUCUGUCCUCUGAAAACUAUAAAACACUGAUGAAAGAAAUUGAUGACACAAAGAAAUAGAAAAACAUCUCAUGCUCAUGAAUUGGAAGAACAAAUGUUGCUAAACUGUCUGUACUACCCAAAGCAAUCUACACAUUUAAUGCAAUCCCUAUCAAAAUACCACCAGCAUAUUUCACGGAGCUAGAACAAACAUCCUAAAAUUUGUAUGGAAUCACAGAAGACCCCAAGUAGCCAAAGCAGUCUUGGAAAAGAAAAGCAAAGGUGGAGGCAUCAUAAUUUCAGACUUCAAGUUAUAUUUCAGAGCUGUAGUAAUCAAAACACCAUGGUACUGGCAUAAAAAUAGACACAUAGAUCAAUGGAACAGAAUAGAAAACACAGAAAUGAACCCACAACUAUAUGGUCAAUUAAUCUUCGACAAAGCAGGAAUGAAUAUCCAAAGAGAAAAAGAUAGUCUCUUCAACAAAUGGUGUUGGGAAAACUGGACAGCAACGUGCAAAAGAAUGAAACUGGACCACUUCUUACACCAUACACAAAAAUAAAUUCAAAAUGGAUGAAAGAUUUAAAUAUGAGGCAGGAAACCAUUAAAAUCCUAGAUGAGAACACAGGCAGUAACCUGUUUGACAUUGGCGAUAGCAGCAUCUUACUAGAUACAUCUCCUGAGGCAAGAGAAACAAAAGCAAACGUGAACUAUUGUGACUUCAUUAAGAUAAAAGCUUCCACACAAUGAAGGAAACAAUCAACAAAACUAAAAGGCAACCUGCUAAAUGGGAGAAGAUAUUUGCAAAUGACAUAUCUGUUAAGAGCUAGUACCCAAAAUCUAUAAAGAACUUCUAAAACUCAACACCCGAAAACCAAACAAUCCAGUUAAAAAAUGGCCAGAAGAAAUGAAUAGACAUUUUUCCAAAGAAGACAUUUAGAUGGCCAACAAACACAUAAAAGAUCCUCAACAUUACUCACCAUCAGGGGAAUACAAAUCAAAAUUACAAUGAUACCUCACACCCGUCAGAAUGGCUAAAAUUAACAACACAGGAAACAACAGGUGUUGGCAAGCAUGCAGAGAAAGGGGAACCCUCUUACACUGUUGGUAGGAAUGCAAACUGGUGCAGCCACUCCGGAAGACAGUAUGGAGAUUUCUUAAAAAGUUACAGAUAGAACUGCCCUAAGAUCCAGCAAUUGCACAACUUGGCAUUUACCCAAAGGAUACAAAAACACUAAUUUGAAGGGAUGUGUGCACACUGAUGUUUAUAGCAGUAUUACCUAUAAUAGCCAAAUUAUGGAAAGAGCUGAAAUGUCCAUCAAUUGAUAAAUGGAUAAAGAAAUGAUGGUAUGUAUAUAUGUGUGUAUAUGUGUGUGUGUGUAUGAAUAUUACUCAGCCAUAUAAAAGAAUGAAAUCUUGCCAUUUGCAAAGAUAUGGAUGGAGCUAGAGAGUAUAAUGCUAAGCAAAAUAAGUCAAAGAAAGACAAAUACCAUAUGAUUUCACUCAUAUGUGGAAUUUAAGAAUCAAAAUAAAUGAACAUGGGAGAAAAAAAGAAAACCAAGAAACUGACUCUUAACUAUAGAGAAAACCUGAUGGUUACCAUAGGGAAGGUUAGUGGGAGGAUGGCUGAAAUAAGUGAUGGGGAUUAAGGAAGGACACUUGUGCACUUGUGAUGAGCACUGGGUGUUGUAUGUAAGUCUUGAAUCAUCAUAUUGUACACCUGAAACUAAUAUUACACUGUAUGAUA